rnacentral:misc_RNA from 1 species
GUGAGUCAUCGAAUCUUUGAACGCACAUUGCGCCCGCCAGUAUUCUGGCGGGCAUGCCUGUCCGAGCGUCAUUUCAACCCUCAAGCCCCCGGGCUUGGUGUUGGAGAUCGGCGAGCCCUCCGGGGCGCGCCGUCUCCCAAAUAUAGUGGCGGUCCCGCUGUAGCUUCCUCUGCGUAGUAGCACACCUCGCACUGGGAAACAGCGUGGCCACGCCGUAAAACCCCCCACUUCUGAAAGGUUGACCUCGGAUCAGGUAGGAAUACCCGCUGAACUUAAGCAUAUCAAUAAGCGGAGGA